GACGAACGCUGGCGGCGUGCCUAAUACAUGCAAGUCGAACGCAGUGGGGACGGGUGAGUAACACGUUGGUAACCUCCCAUCAGAGGGGAUAACCCUUGGACACAGGUGCUAAACCGAUACAGAUGGAUGGACCCGCGGUGCAGUAGCUAGUGGUGGAGGUAACGGCUCACCAAGGCGACGAUGCAUAGCCGGCCUGAGAGGGUGAUCGGCCACACUGGGACUGAAACACGGCCCAGACUCCUACGGGAGGCAGCAGUAGGGAAUCUUCCGCAAUGGGCGCAAGCCUGACGGAGCAACGCCGCGUGAGUGAAGAAGGUUUUCGGAUCGUAAAGCUCUGUUGUAAGAGAAGCGGUAUCUUACCAGAAAGCCACGGCUAACUACGUGCCAGCAGCCGCGGUAAUAC
rnacentral:rRNA from 1 species